rnacentral:rRNA from 1 species
CAAGACCGGUGCCAGCCGCCGCGGUAACACCGGCGGCUCGAGUGGUAACCGUUAUUAUUGGGUCUAAAGGGUCUGUAGCCGGCCGGAUAAGUCUCUUGAGAAAUCUGGCAGCUUAACUGUCAGGCUUUCAGGAGAUACUGUCUGGCUCGAGGCCGGGAGAGGUGAGAGGUACUUCAGGGGUAGGGGUGAAAUCUUGUAAUCCUUGAAGGACCACCAGUGGCGAAGGCGUCUCACCAGAACGGACCUGACGGCAAGGGACGAAAGCUAGGGGCACGAACCGGAUUAGAUACCCUGGUAGUC